UCGCGUAGGGAUCUAUCCAUGGGUGGGGGAUAACAUCGGGAAACUGGUGCUAAUACCGCAUGAUACCUGAGGGUCAAAGGCGCAAGUCGCCUGUGGAGGAGCCUGCGUUCGAUUAGCUUGUUGGUGGGGUAAAGGCCUACCAAGGCGAUGAUCGAUAGCUGGUCUGAGAGGAUGAUCAGCCACACUGGGACUGAGACACGGCCCAGACUCCUACGGGAGGCAGCAGUGGGGAAUAUUGGACAAUGGGCGAAAGCCUGAUCCAGCAAUGCCGCGUGUGUGAAGAAGGUCUUCGGAUUGUAAAGCACUUUCGACGGGGACGAUGAUGACGGUACCCGUAGAAGAAGCCCCGGCUAACUUCGUGCCAGCAGCCGCGGUAAUACGAAGGGGGCUAGCGUUGCUCGGAAUGACUGGGCGUAAAGGGCGCGUAGGCGGUUUACACAGUCAGAUGUGAAAUUCCAGGGCUUAACCUUGGGGCUGCAUUUGAUACGUGUAGACUAGAGUGUGAGAGAGGGUUGUGGAAUUCCCAGUGUAGAGGUGAAAUUCGUAGAUAUUGGGAAGAACA
rnacentral:rRNA from 1 species